AUUGAACGCUGGCGGCAGGCCUAACACAUGCAAGUCGAGCGAGCGGCGGACGGGUGAGUAAUGUAUGGGGAUCUGCCCGAUAGAGGGGGAUAACUACUGGAAACGGUAGCUAAUACCGCAUACUAUAGGAUGAACCCAGAUGGGAUUAGCUAGUAGGUGGGGUAAUGGCUCACCUAGGCGACGAUCCCUAGCUGGUCUGAGAGGAUGAUCAGCCACACUGGGACUGAGACACGGUCCAGACUCCUACGGGAGGCAGCAGUGGGGAAUAUUGCACAAUGGGCGCAAGCCUGAUGCAGCCAUGCCGCGUGUGUGAAGAAGGCCUUCGGGUUGUAAAGCACUUUCAGUCGGGAGGCGUUACCCGCAGAAGAAGCACCGGCUAAUUCCGUGCCAGCAGCCGCGGUAAUAC
rnacentral:rRNA from 1 species